rnacentral:rRNA from 1 species
AUUGAACGCUGGCGGCAUGCUUUACACAUGCAAGUCGAACGGCAGCACGGGAGCUUGCUCCUGGUGGCGAGUGGCGAACGGGUGAGUAAUGCAUCGGAACGUAUCCAAUAAUGGGGGAUAACGCACCGAAAGGUGUGCUAAUACCGCAUACGCCCUGAGGGGGAAAGCGGGGGACCGUAAGGCCUCGCGUUAAUGGAGCGGCUGAUGCCGGAUUAGCUAGUUGGUGAGGUAAAGGCUCACCAAGGCGACGAUCCGUAGCUGGUCUGAGAGGACGACCAGCCACACUGGGACUGAGACACGGCCCAGACUCCUACGGGAGGCAGCAGUGGGGAAUUUUGGACAAUGGGGGCAACCCUGAUCCAGCCAUGCCGCGUGAGUGAAGAAGGCCUUCGGGUUGUAAAGCUCUUUCGUGAGGAAAGAAACGGCCACAGCUAAUACCUGUGGUUAAUGACGGUACCUCAAGAAGAAGCACCGGCUAACUACGUGCCAGCCGCCGCGGUAACAC